GACGAACGCUGGCGGCGCGCUUAACACAUGCAAGUCGAGCGAGAACCCAGGCUUCAGCCUGGGGGAAAGCGGCGAACGGGUGAGUAACACGUGGGUAAUCUGCCCUCGGCAUCGGGAUAGCCCGGGGAAACCCGGAUUAAUACCGGAUGGCCCGACAGCUCUUCGGAGCGGUCGGAAAAGGUAGCUUCGGCCUCCGGCCGAGGAGGAGCCCGCGGCGGAUUAGCUUGUUGGUGGGGUAAUGGCUCACCAAGGCUCCGAUCCGUAGCUGGUCUGCGAGGACGAUCAGCCACACUGGGACUGAGACGCGGCCCAGACUCCUACGGGAGGCAGCAGUGGGGAAUCUUGCGCAAUGGGCGAAAGCCUGACGCAGCGACGCCGCGUAAGGGAAGAAGGCCUUCGGGUUGUAAACCUCUUUCAGGAGGGACGAAGCCACUCGGGUUAAUAGCCCAGAGGGUGACGGUACCUCCAGAAGAAGCCCCGGCUAACUACGUGCCAGCCGCCGCCGUAA
rnacentral:rRNA from 1 species